UAGAGAAUCAGUGCACUUUAUCAGCUUGUGCAGCUGGAUAUCAAUGUGAAGCAAGAAGAGAUCUCGGUGGCAAGAUUCAUGAAGAAUGCAAUGAUAUUGAUGAAUGCCAACAGAAUAGACACACAUGUCAGUCAGGAUAUCAGUGCUCUAAUACUGUGGGAAGUUACGCUUGUCAUAAUCUUUGCAAAGAAUGGCCGUGCGAAGAUGGUGAAACAUGCGAAAUACGAACAGCUCACAAUAAGCCAGUUGAGGUGUGCAAUGAUAUAAAUGAAUGCGAGCUGGGAUCACACAAUUGCACGGCAGGACUCCAAUGCCGCAACCGACGCGCUCCAGAAAAAUUUAAUUGUGUGAAAGUUGAAUCCCACGUAGAGGAUGAUAAUGGUGAGUAUGACCACGAUGAUGAUGAUGAAAAUGAUAAUGGAGAUCCUGACGACCUUAGCAUGAAAUGCAUGGUGUGAUUUUCGUUUUCUUUUGUUCGUCGGAGUGCUGAAAAACAACUUCCUUCCAACGCUGUUGUUGAGCUUCGCUUUGCCAGGACUUUGUCGCUAUUGAUGACUUUAGGGUUACGGCGAUUUCUGCCUUUGCGGCUUUCAUGUGUCAGCGCUUUUGCUUAUGACGAUGGUUUUAUGAUUUUUUUAUGACUCAAUCUGCGGACAGCAUGAUUUUUUUAUGAUAAUAAUAAUAAUAAUAAUAAUAAUAAUAAUAAUAAUAAUAAUAUAUUAUGAUGAUGGCGAUGAUGAUACUAAUAAUGAUUUGCUGUGUUUGCUUCGUUGGUGUAUGCGUGGUUCGCAACAGCAAUGGGACCACAGUUUGCUAACAAGCUGUCGCACCCCUAGAGUACGUUCGUUACUAUGGUUACUGGUACAGUAUUGUAUACAUGUAGGUGUCUUGAAGUUGUUGUUCUUAACGUUGGUUCUUUUUGUUUUAUAUUUUUGUUUGUUUGGGCUUUCUUUUUGGCUCGUGUCUAUUUAGGUUUCUUUCUUCAUCCCGAGUUCAACUUUGUGCUCUCUACUUCUCUCUAUUGAAUAUCGAUGCUUGUGUGGUUGCUUGCCCGUACAAGAGG